rnacentral:rRNA from 1 species
AAGCAUAUCAAUAAGCGGAGGAAAAGAAACCAACAGGGAUUGCCCUAGUAACGGCGAGUGAAGCGGCAACAGCUCAAAUUUGAAAUCUGGCUCCUAGAGCCCGAGUUGUAAUUUGCAGAGGGUGCUUUGGCGUCGGCAGCGGCCUAAGUUCCUUGGAACAGGGCGUCAUAGAGGGUGAGAACCCCGUACGUGGCCGCCCGCCUUCGCCGUGUAAAGCCCCUUCGACGAGUCGAGUUGUUUGGGAAUGCAGCUCUAAAUGGGAGGUAAAUUCCUUCUAAAGCUAAAUACUGGCCAGAGACCGAUAGCGCACAAGUAGAGUGAUCGAAAGAUGAAAAGCACUUUGGAAAGAGAGUCAAACAGCACGUGAAAUUGUUGAAAGGGAAGCGCUUGCAGCCAGACUUGCCCGCGGUCGUUCUUCUUCCGCGGGCAGGCCAGCAUCAGUCUGGGCGGUCGGAUAAAGGCCUCGGGAAUGUAGCUCUCUUCGGGGAGUGUUAUAGCCCGGGGCGCCAUGCGGCCAGCCCGGACUGAGGUCCGCGCAUCUGCUAGGAUGCUGGCGUAAUGGCUGUAAGCGGCCCGUCUUGAAACACGGACCAAGGAGUCUAACAUCUAUGCGAGUGUUUGGGUGUCAAGCCCGGGCGCGUAAUGAAAGUGAACGGAGGUGGGAACCCCUCGGGGCGCACCAUCGACCGAUCCUGAUGUCUUCGGAUGGAUUUGAGUAAGAGCAUAGCUGUUGGGACCCGAAAGAUGGUGAACUAUGCCUGAAUAGGGUGAAGCCAGAGGAAACUCUGGUGGAGGCUCGCAGCGGUUCUGACGUGCAAAUCGAUCGUCAAAUUUGGGCAUAGGGGCGAAAGACUAAUCGAACUAUCUAGUAGCUGGUUCCUGC